AAGGCAGUGAUGGAAUGCUGGCAUGGGUGCCAAAGGAGCUGGACUACAGGGAUUUGUAUAGUCCUGAGGUGACACAUGCCCUUACAGCUGGUCCUGCCCCAUGUCACAAUAGAGCAGAGGACAGUGCCCAGUUCUGAACAUGUUGCUUCUACUUCAUCCAGGAGGAAGAAAAUUAGUGAGUCUGACUCUUCAAAACAUUGGUGUUCUGGAUUCCCUGAGUUUAACAAAGGCUCUGUGCUGUCCAUCUCUCCUGGGAUUUCAGUGCUGCAAACCUUUAGAGUAGUUAAUUCCCACAAUGAAAAGUUUGCUGCCACCUACCCCCGGAUGCACCAGUUGCUCUUUAUUCCCAUCGGUCCAGUCCUCACCACAUAAAAAUUUCAGGACAUGUUUGGAGCUGCCUGAGUCUCAGCAGUGAUGAUCAGCAAGGAGCUUACUCACCCCUAAACCGUGCUGGGAUUCACCAGCUCAGCGUGUCCCUACCUGCUUAGCUUUGGGGAUUGAUCCAGAGGGUGCAUGCAGGAGGUGCCAGCCUGCUCCUUGCACAAAUCUGAGCAGCAGGAGGAAGGAACCUCUCGCCUUUUGAGCAGUUGGACCCUCUCUCCUCACUGCCAGGAUGCCCUUGUUAAAAUAGCUCCAUGUGGAGCUUGAACCUACAUUUUCUCUGUUACAGGAAAGGGCACUAAACCAUAGGUACUCUGCACUGGUUCUCUGUCAUUAAACUAUCCAAUGGUGUGUGGCAAGGAUUGGAUAUUUCGGCAGUCAGGACAUUGCCAUGGAAGACCAUGUUAUCUCCUUGGAUAAGUAAUGCCAAGAAAAACACCUUCCAGAUGGGACAUCUUGAGACCACUCAAGAGUUCAGUUCCCUGCUUAUACCCUGACAGAAAGACACUGGUGGGACUUGAGAAAACAUUUCUGUGUCUGUUUUUGCUGACUGUGUGUGGCAUAACCUGCUCGGAGAACACUGAGCAGAGGCUUAGAUGGGAUAUUGGGAAGAAAUUCUUCCCUGUGAGGGUGGUGAGAAGCUCGAGGUGCCCAGAGAAGUUGUGACUGCCCCAUCCCUGGAAGUGUUUCAGGCCAGGUUAAACAAAGCCUGGGAUAGUGGAAGGUGUCCCUGCUCAUGGAAAAAGAUGAUAUUUAAGGUUCCUUGAAACCCAAACCAUUCCGUGAUUCUAUGAUGAUCAAGGCCUAUGAAUAUGUU
rnacentral:lncRNA from 1 species